UUGUUGCAGAAUAAAAUGGGCUCUGCACACAAGAAGCUGAAGAUUUUUGUGAUGUUCCUGUCUCUGGCUACUUUCACAGUCAUGGUGAUACUGAACGCUGGCAAUGCCACCGGGCUGUUCAAAGGUCUAUUCCGGAGCACCCCAGGAAACAUCUCGGAGAAGUACGACACGGAUUUCACACCAGCUGGCUGGACUUUUCUCAUCUGGAACGUCAUCUAUGCUUGGCAGCUUGCGUGGCUGCUCUACGCGCUCUCGGGGAUCUGUCGAAGGUAUUUUCCCCGCGUACAGUGUGAGGGUAAGGGGGGCCUCUUCCCUGCUGCUGCUCAGUCCGUUCUCCCCAUUUCUGGGGUUUCCAGUCAGAAUAAACCCUGCAGUUCCUCUUGGCUGGAAGUGCUGAAGCUCUGCUACAGGAGUGUCCUUUAGGUUCAGCAUCCAGAGCUGUGACUGGGAGCAGUUUGGUGGCAUGUAUGAACUGCUCUAACUUGUGG
rnacentral:lncRNA from 1 species